rnacentral:lncRNA from 1 species
GACUACUCCAUAAACUGAGCUAAGCAGCGUGGGGCUUGAGAGGCUGAGUCCGACUUUGAAAGAAGUUCUAAUGUGGGGAAAACGCAAUCAGCAUUGCAUGCUACAGAGAAAUCGUGCAUGACAGGAAGAGUUAAUCGAUUUGGUAGCCUUCGUCGUGGUCUUAUUUUAAGAAAUUGCCACAGCCAGCCCAGCCUUCAGCAGCCCCCACCCUGAUCCAUCAGCAGCAUCAAUGUGCAGGCAGGACCCUCCACCAGCAAAAAGACUGUGACUCACUAAAGCCUCAGAUGAUUGUUCAACCUCUUUAGCAAGAAAAUAUUUUUUAAAAUUAAGACUGGGGAGUAAUUCUAACUCCCGUGACUUCGUCGUGCCUCGAAGUAGAAGUCUAGACAUCUGGAUUUGGACAUCUGGAUUCAUCCCUUGCUGUAUCCUCUAGGUUCUUUAAGGACACCGUCAAAGAUGGUGACCGACGCAGACCCUUGUAAAACGUCACAAGACUGGCAUACUUGUAGGUGAUAAGGACGGAGAAAUAAAACAUAGGAUCUCAGCCCGGCCUUACAGGUGCUGCCCAAAGUCACAACAUCUGGAGCGCAGCCUGGAGCUGAGACGCGGGGGCUCUGCCGUGAGCCUGCUCGGCCCGGCCCCGAGGCUGGGCGCUCUCAUCCGGACCUGCUUUGGUGCAGGAGAGCAGGAUGGCAGCGGCCGGGAGGUUUCGCAUCCAGACUGAGCCAGGGUGAAGGCCUCCGAGCAGCGGCAGUUUCUCCUUCCAGGGGGACCUUCAGCCCCUCCGUCCGCUUUCGGCAGGUGGUGUGUGCAUGGGGAGCACACGUCCCGAGGGCUUGGCUCCGGCUCUGCCAUUGACCGUCCCGUGACCCUGGGCUCUAACUUCUUGCUGAGCCUCCGUUUUCUCUCGGGCAAAAUGCAGGUGCUAAUCAUCCCCACUUCAUGGAUUGCUGGGAUCACAUCUCUGUUGUGGAAAACUUUAGGGUAAACUAAAGUGAGCUAGAGGCAGAACAUCGGGUCUGGGCCGUGUGUCUGCCGAUUGGCUAGUUUAACCUUGAGAAAAACCUCUGCCACUGCCUGCCCGUCUGUUUCCGGUCUCCAAGCCCAGAUCUUUCUCUUCGCAGGCCCCAGACACGCCCCUGGUACAUGGAGAUAUCUCAUACUGGCAAUAAUAUAACAUUUCUUUUAUUUGAUGAUGUUAUUGAAUAAUUUUUUAUUUUUAAUCUAAGCAAACACUUAAGUUUAAAAAAACUAGUAACUAUGAAUCUUAACAUAGAAAUGUUAGCCCCUGCCCGUCUUCCGCCCAGUGCCGAUCCACCACUUCCACUGCUUUUAACUGGUUUAUCUGGAAAUAGCUCUACAUGUCUAAACAGCAUCCUUACUCUACAAGUCUUGAUGAUUUUUAAGUUUUAAUUGUUACCUGUUGACUUCCUAGCAUGGGAAGAAAGGAUUUAACCCUCCCCUCCCGUCACGGACACAGACACACCCCUCCGCACCCCCCACCCUCCUCUUCCAUCCGUUCUGUAUGCGGAUCGUACGUUUUGGUGGGAUAUUCGGAUGUCACACUGGGUUCACAGUUAAGUCAGAUAACAUGUGUGAUGACACGCAGCUGCACGUCUUUGCGUACACAAAUUGUUUCCCUGAAGGUAAUAAUUGCAUUGCUUUCCUGUUUGCUGAGUGUUCUCCUGGUAUCACUCGUUCGGCCCAGAAUCUUUAUAAAAGUGUCGCAUGUCCUUUCACUGCACCCGCACACGUGUGCCAUCUCUCAGCCCCUGGAGCCCAUGUCUCUGGGGGUCCCACCUCCUUGGUUCCGCGCUGGGCUGGCCGCUCUCGAGACCCACCGCGUCACCGCAUCCCCGGGCUCCCGGGCCUGGGCUCCGUUCCCGUCCUCCUGGGGAACGCGGCCCCCCCCUCGCUCUGCUGUGGCUUCUCUGCCUCCUGGAUCCCGUGGCUUCUUCCUGCUUGUUUUCCUCCUUCGCUUUGUAGAAGCACGUUGUCCAGUAAUGUCUCCAAAAGAGGAAGGAUGGCUUUUGUUUCUGGAGGGUGCACACCUGAAACGGUCUUUAUUCCACGCUUCCAUGUGGUUGAUUAUUUGAUUGGACACAGAAUUACCAAUACAGCUCAGAAACAUUUUUUUCUCCUGAUUUUAAACCAUUAUGCUGUUAUUGUCAGGUGUGCUUCGGAUUUUCAGUACUUUCUAGGCGAACUGUUUUUUUUUUUGUUUUUUUUUUUAUCACUGUUAACUUUAAACGUGUUCUCUCUAACUCUAGUGUCUUGAAACUUCACAGACAGAUAUUUUUAUGUAGGUCUUUUUCCUUUACUGUUCUACAUUGCCAGGGGGCCCUUUCAAACUGGAAACAUAUCUUUCUCUUUUUACAUAGUUAAAAUAAUUCUCUUCAAAUAAUAUUUUCUAGUAUACUCUGAAAUCAUGAGUCUAUUUUUUUUUUUUUUGUCUUUUUAGGGCCACACCCACGGCAUAUGGAGGUUCCCAGGCUAGAGGUCUAAUCAGAGCUGCAGCUGCCUGCUGAUGCCACAGCCACAGCAAAGACAGAUCCAAUCCGUGUCUGCGACCUGCACCACAGCUCAUGGCAACGUGGGAUCCUUAACCCACUGAGCAAGGCCAGGGAUUGGGCCCGAAACAUCAUGGUUCCUAGUCGGAUUCGUUUCCGCUGUGCCAGGACGGGAACUCCUGAAAUCAUGAGUCUAGAAGUCAAUUUCAGAUUUGUAUUAUUUAUUUUUUAAUUUAAAUAUAGUUGAUUUACAGUGUUAUGUUAGUUUCAGAUGUAUAAUAUAGUCAUUCAAUUUUUUAUAGCUUACACACCAUUUAAAGUUAUUAUAAAAUAGUGGCUACAUUCCCUGUACGGUACCUUACACGCAUGUAUAUUCUUAGUCGUAUUUUAAAUUUCUUAUUAAAAUUACUCCUUAACAUUUUAGAAGCUGGAGUUAGAAUAGGAAAUGUAUUACUCAGUACACAGUGAGACACUGAAUUUUCUGUGGCAAACUUCUCUAACCUGUUAUAAAACAAGGUCCUUGAUAGGGUGAAGGAUAAAGAAACCAGAAUCCCCGGCGUAGGUCACGUGAUGAAGAAGGGUCAUCCUGUUUUCUCACACAGACAAGUAGAUGGGAAAUCUCUUUACAAAUAAACAGAGCAGAGAAUGAGCAGAUUAAAUGUUUCUCAGGUGAGACAGAGCGUCCAGUAACAGAGUGUCACGGGGUGGCUUUCUCAGUUCCUUGGUACAAUAUACCCUUUUAGUGAUGAAUAGGCAUCGUGCAUUCCAACAUAGCCAAAUGACUAGCGUUGCAUUGGAAUUGGAAUAAAUGUAAUUUUAAGAAUUCAAGACACCAGAGUUAUAGAGAAUAGGUUUAAAGUCUACAGUGAUUAAGAAAACAAAAUAAACAUAAAACAGUUCACAUAAGAAUUAUUGAAAAUCAGAGUAACAAAUGUAAUUUGGAUAUUACUAUACAAAUUAUUUAUUAGUGCCAGGUUUAUGAUUUCUGUCUAGACCUAUGAAAGAACAGUUCUCCUGCAAUGGGAAAGACAAGUUAAAGAUGCGUAUAUUAGCAUCCACUUCAGCUAAUUAUGCUCAUGAAGUCAGUUGUUCCAUGAAAGGCAACCUCGUUUAUUGGACAUUUUUAGGAAAUGAUCAAUUCCUCAGAGACGUUGAUGUACACAACUUUAUUUUCAUUCUACCUGUUUUUGAUUAAAAUAUUCCUCAAAGAAUAUAUUUAUUUGGCUAACUUAGAACAGGCCCAGGCGUUUAGAGGAUUCUGCUGAGUGUUUGUUUAUUCCGUCAUUUACUUAGUCAACAAGUAUUGUGUUAUUACUCUUUCCCAGUAAGUCAGGGCCGUCAUUCCUCAUUCCUCAUUGUGUUAAACCUCAGGCGGUUUUGCCCUCGGGCACCUUGAAGCUGUGCCGUGCACUUGGCCUCAAAUACAAGGCUUUGAGAAAAUUAUGCUUUUUGAGCAAAAGCUCCUGUGACUCAGUGAGGAAAAGCAAAACAACUCAAUGGGAAAAAUACAUGAAUAGGCAUUUCACAGAAAAGGAAUAACAAAUGCUCAUAAACAUAUGGAAAGAUUCUCCGUUUCUUGAUGAUCAGAGACACAAGUGAAAACCACACUGAGUUUCCACUGUACACGCUGCUGUGGCCAAGCGUUAUGAGGAAGUGGAGCCGUGGGACUCUUCUCCACCGAUAGCAGAGGCAUCAGCUGUGUCCUUCCGUGGAAGACAAUUCGGGUAUGAGCCAAUAAGCUGAGUAACGCACAUCCCUGCUACCCGGUGAGCCCAUCCCUCGGCGUGAACUCCAAGAAAGACCUUACAGCGGCAGAGGAGGUGGAUGUAAGAAUGUUCUGACAGUACAGCCUGUCAAGAAAAACUGCAGCCACCUAAAUACGUGCUGCAGUGAAGAGAGAUGGACUGGGUACACUCCUACCUGGAAUGCCAUCCAGCAGUGAGGAGGAGUACGUUAUCACUGCUUGCAUCGAUGUGACUGGACGUCUUAAACAAUAUUGAGGAAAAAAGGGACGUCUCAGAAGGGGACCUGCAAGUUCCACUCAGUCUAUAUAAGGGUAGAAAUCUGGCUUAACUGCAUGUAUUUUGUAGGGACAUAGAAAACUUGAUCCAACUGUAAAGGAAAACACCACACAAAAAUGGAGAUCAACACGUUACUCAGAGAGUGUUUACGGAGGAGGGCAGGUAAGGGCUGUGAUGACAGGAGGAGGCGGAGAGGGACCCAAGGCAUGGGGUCGUGUUCUGCCCCUUCAGCAUCGUCUCAUCCAACCAGCGCUUCCUAAAGGCCUGCGAAGCGCCAAGCACUGCCGUAGCACGUAGGGUACAAACUCUUCAAGAGAACAUAUUCCGCAGGAAGCGAAAAAAUGGAUGGAGUAAAUCAUUAACUUAUUUUAGUUUCAAAAGGUGAUAAGUUCUAUGGAAAAAAUGGGAGUUAAGACAGCUUGGUGUGUGUGGAUGGUUAGUAGAAUUAAAUGAGAUGAUGAGGGUACCUUCUUUGAGAAGGAGCUAUUUGAAUCUAGAUUUGAAAGAGAUACGGAGUAAGCCACACGGCUACCUGGGUGAGUGAAAUUUAGGCAGAGGGACCAGCCAGUGCAAUGAUCUCAUUAUGGUGAUGUGUUUGCCAUGUUUGGGGAGACAUGGGGAGGGCACCGCAGCUGACAAUGAGCAGCAUGGUCAGAGAGGUGGAUGCACCAGCAGGGCUGGACAGGGCAUGACAUGCUAGGUCGGGUAUUGGCAGCGUCCCUCUGCAAAGAGGCAGAUGAUAAAUAUUUUAGGCUUUACGGGCCACAGGGUCUCAGAAGCAAAUGCUCUGCCGUUGGAACAUGAAAGCAGCCAUAGACAAUAUGCAGUUAAUGGACAUGGAUCUAUUAUAGUAACGCUACACAAAAAAGAAGUGAGUGGAGAGUGACGGAAUUAGGAUGGCAGAAUAGAAGGACUGGAGCUCAACUUCUUUUCUAAAAACAACAAAAUUCACAACUAAAGACUGAGCACACUUCACCAAAAUGGACCGGAAACCUUAAAAAAGAUAUCCUACUCCAGAAGAAAAAAAGGAGGCCACAUCAAGAUGUAGGAGGGACGAUUUCAUGAUAUAAACAACCCCAUACCUCCUGGGUGGGAAGCUCCACAGACUGGAAACUAACUGGUUCACAGAGACUCACCUACAGGAGUGAGAGUUCUGAGCCCCACAGUAAACCCCCACGUGUGGGGAUCCGGCCCUGGGAGAAAGAGCCCCUGGAGCAUCUGGCAUUGAAGGCCAGUGGGGCUUGUGUGCAGGAGCUCCACAGGACGGGGGGGGAAACGGAGACCCCAUUCUUAAAAGGUGCAUACAGACUUUCACGUGCACUGAGUCCCAGGGCAAAGAAAAGUCUCCAAGGGAAUCUGGGUCAAACCUGACCGCAGUUCUUGGAGGACAUCCUGGGAAAACAGGGAUGAAUGUGGCUUGUUGUGAGGGAAGGACAUUGAAAGCAAAGAUCUGGGGAAUAUUCAGCAGCAGUACCUUUCUCUGGAGGUGGCCAUUUGGGGAAAAUCUGGCCCCACCCAUCAGCCAGCUCCUGAGAAGCCCCAGGGCAAACAACAACCCAGGUGGGAUCACAGCCCCAUCCCUCAGUAAACAGGCUGCCUACAGACCCCUCAGGCACACAGCCACCUCCAAUCCCAUCCAGAGACUGAACCCCACCCAAAAGAGGGAUUAGAAUCAGCUCCACCUACCAGUGGGCAGGCAUCAGCCCCUCCCAUCAGGAAGCCUACACCAAGCCUCCAUACUGAUUUCAGCCACAGGGGGGCAGACACCAGAAUUAAGAGAGGCUACAACUCUAUUAUCUGUAAGAAGGUCACCACACCAAAAACCUAUAAAAAUGAAAAUACAGAGGACUAUAACUCAGAUGAGGGAGAAAGAAAAAACCCCAGAAAAACAGCUAAGCCAUGAGAUUCUCAGCCUCCAAGAAAAAGACUUUAGACUGUUGAUGCUGAAGAUGAUGCAAGACAUUGCAAAUAAACUGGAGGCAAAGAUGGAUAACCUGCAGGAAACACUGACCAAAGAGAUACAAGAUACAAAACUUAAACAAGAAGAGAUGCAAAAUACAAUAACUGAAAUAAAAAAUUCACUAGAAGCAGCUAACAGCAGAAUACAGGAGGCAGAAGAACAAAUAAGCGAGGUGGAGGACAGAUUAGUGGAAAUUACAGAUGCAGAAC